rnacentral:lncRNA from 1 species
AAAAAAAAAAAGAGAGAGAAAGGGGUUCCUCUGGCCUGGACGAUUUUCGACCACUGGAUUGCUACCCGUCCAUCGCCGGUGACCGCCGUACACGGCGGCCAGAGGUGCGAAAAUAGCCCUAUUUCGAUCCUCUUGUUCCCUCACCCUAGAUUCAAGUUCCAAACAAGCAAAAGCCUCCUAGAAAAUCGGAUAAAGCCAUGAGAACCGUUCGGCUCCAACUUCUCCGACCUCUAGAAAGGUAACGAUAUUCCUUCCUUUUUGAAUGUGUAUAUGUGUAUUGUAUUUUGAAUAAACUUGUAAAAGAAACAAAAUAAAGAAAGAUAACAGAAUGAAGAAAACCUUUUGAUCUUUGUUUUCAAUUACUAUCUGUAUUCCUUGUUCAUAGUAUGCGUGUAAAAAAAAAGUUACAUUUUUGUUCUCUUGGCUAUAUAGCCAAAUACAUUUUUUUUGGUCUUUGUUUCCCUUACGUGUUCUGUUGUUUUUGUUCCCUUUUUUGGUCUGCUUGCAGGUUGGGAGGAAGGUCAACGAGAAGGGCUUUCGUUUUGGUGUAAAGGACAGGCAGAGCCGACCCUCGAGCGAUGUUUGCACCAAGGACACACGUGGCUGACAGAAGGGAGGCGCGACGCUAGGGCUAGCUAGGGUUUCUGCCUCUACUGAAACCGUUUGGGUCUUUGGGCCUGUUAAAUGGGUCAUAAGAUUUUUGUAUUUUGGGCUGUUUAGGCUUUGGGCCUUAUGUAAAUGGACUGUCCUUAUUCUUUUGAUUUUUGUUUUUAAACGGGCCUGGCAAUUUUGGCCCAUUACAUGGAUCAUUACAUGUUUGAUAUAACAUUGAUAAUUAAAAUUUAUAAAUUAUGAAUGUGAUAUCAGUUCGGUUUAAUCGGGUUUUUUUUUUUAGAUUUUUUGAAUAGUCAAACAUAAUUCAGUCCAACUCAAUUCAAUUCUUGGUUUUUC